AUCUUGCAGAAUUUGCUUUUGGCUCUGAGCGGUCGUUCGGGGUACCUCUCGUUACGACUUCACCCCAAUCCAUGAGUCAUACCUUGGGCCGCUGCCUCCCUUGCGGGCUAGCCUGCGGACUUCUAGUACAACCCACUUUCGUGAUGUGACGGGCGGUGUGUACAAGGCCCGGGAACGUAUUCACGGCGCCAUGCUGAUGCGCCAUUACUAGCGAUUCCAGCUUCAUGCAGGCGAGUUGCAGCCUGCAAUCCGAACUGAGACCGGUUUUUAGCGAUUUGCUCCCCUUCGCGGGUUGGCGUCGCGUUGUACCGGCCAUUGUAGCACGUGUGUAGCCCUGGACAUAAAGGCCAUGCUGACUUGACGUCAUCCCACCUUCCUCCAGCUUGUCGCUGGCGGUCCCCUGCGCGUUCCCUACUUGCUUGCUGGCCCCCC
rnacentral:rRNA from 1 species